CUACGGGAGGCAGCAGUGAGGAAUCUUGCGCAAUGGGGGAAACCCUGACGCAGCGACGCCGCGUGGGUGAUGAAGGCCUUCGGGUCGUAAAGCCCUGUCGAGAGGGAAGAAUUGCAUUUAGGUUAAUAGCCUAAUUGUUUGACGGUACCUCCAAAGGAAGCACCGGCUAACUCCGUGCCAGCAGCCGCGGUAAUACGGAGGGUGCAGCGUUGUUCGGAAUCACUGGGCGUAAAGGGCGUGUAGGCGGCUGAGUAAGUCAGGUGUGAAAUCCCUCGGCUCAACCGGGGAAGUGCAUUUGAUACUGCUCAUCUUGAGUACUGGAGAGGGAGAUGGAAUUCCCGGUGUAGAGGUGAAAUUCGUAGAUAUCGGGAGGAACACCAGUGGCGAAGGCGAUCUCCUGGACAGAUACUGACGCUAAGGCGCGAAAGCGUGGGGGGCAAACAGGAUUAGAUACACCAGUAGUC
rnacentral:rRNA from 1 species